rnacentral:misc_RNA from 1 species
UAUGAAGAACGUAGCGAAAUGCGAUAAGUAAUGUGAAUUGCAGAAUUCAGUGAAUCAUCGAAUCUUUGAACGCACAUUGCGCCCAUUAGUAUUCUAGUGGGCAUGCCUGUUCGAGCGUCAUUAAGUCCACUUAAGCCCUGCUUAGUGUUGGGAGACUGCUCCAGCGGUGCUACCCUGUAGCUACCCUGCAGCUCCUCAAAGACAGCGGCGGAGUUGUGGUAUCCUCUGAGCUUAGUAACUUGUUCUAGCUUUCGAGUACACCACUUCCCCUGCCGUAAAACCCUUAAUUUUUAAUGGUUGACCUCGGAUCAGGUAGGAAUACCCGCUGAACUUAAGCAUAUCAAUAAGCGGAGGA